rnacentral:rRNA from 1 species
CCAGACUCCUACGGGAGGCAGCAGUGCGGAAUAUUGGUCACUGGCCGUAAGUCUUCCCCAGCCAAUUCGCUUGAGGGAAGACUGCCCUAUGGGUUUUCCCCCUCUUUUAUUCUUGGAUAAAGGUGUCCACGUGUGUCUUUUUGCAGGUACCUCCUUAAUAAGGCCCUUCUAAUUCCGUUCCCUCAGCCGCGUUCCUCCGGAAGGUCCGGUCUUUAUCCGGAUUUAUUGGGUUUAAAGGGAGCGUAGGUGGAGUGGGAAGUCAGUUGGGAAAGUUUGCGGCGCAACCGUAAAAUUGCAGUUGAAACUGGCAGUCUUGAGUACAGUAGAGGGGGGCGGAAUUCGGGGUGUAGCGGUGAAAUGCUUAGAUAGAAAGAAGAACUCCGAUUGCGAAGGCAGUGCACUGGACUGCAACUGACACUGAGGCUCGAAAGUGUGGGUAUCAAGCAGGAUUAGAUACCCCCGUAUCC